rnacentral:misc_RNA from 1 species
AGUCAUUUUUAAGGAAAAUGACUUCUAUUUUUCAACAGAAGAAGUCAUUUUUCAUUUUUAAACUUUGAUAAUCUUAUUAAAUUGUAAAUACACUUAUAUUUACAUGAAAUAAAUACAUAUAAUUAAUUUAAUAUUACAAUCAAACAAAGGAAAAUAUUUUUAUUUCCAUAUACAUAUUAUUUUCUGUAAAAUAAACGAAGCCUUAACGUAAAAAUAAUCUUUUGAAAAAAAUUAUUUUCUAUUGCGUGGUUGUAACACUCGAUAUCAAAAGGAAAUUACUUAGAAUUUUAGAUUAUAUUUAAAAGUUAAUUUCUUUCUAUAAACUAGGCUCUGGUUGGACCUAUUUCUUUCUCUUUUUUUAUUAUUUUUUAUUUUUUUAUUUAUAGUUGAAUAAAGGAGAAAAUUACAUUGAAAAGGGUCAAAUGUGGUGGUCACGGGCAUUUGGCAAGGAAUGACAGUGUGCAGUCAUGACAGCCCACUGCUGCCAGUGAACCAGCUGUUAAGUAUUUGCAUGAUUUCUUUUAUAGAUUCCUUCCCCGUGUGAGUUUCUGAAGAUCAGAAAUGGCUUGGGAAAUGAUUUCCAUUUUUAAAAGGGCAGCUAUUUUUCCAAAAUGGCAGUGAUUCCUUUGAUAAAAAAAGAGAUCUUCAUUGUCCAAUUUUCCCAUACACCUAAACACCAAAGAAUGAAGAACAAUAUUUUCUAGGAAAAUGCUAUUUGCGCCAAAAACAAUAGAGCCCAAAUUCUCAAAUACCACUAUGACCUAUUUGAAGAUAACUAACUUCCAGUUUUUGCCUCUCAUUUCAGCUAUAUACGAAAUUUGAAUUCAAAUUAAACUGUGUUUUAAAUAGUGAAACGCAAUGGAGAAAGGCUUCUAUUACAGCUUUUACAGCCAAAGCUGAAGACACUACUAAGGAGUAACAACAGUGACUAUAUAAGCAAAAGAUGUUUUCUACCCAGAUUCGAACAGGAGCUACAUGGAUGCAAUACAGAAACAAUUUCUGUGUUGGGAAGAAACACACUUGAUGAAGAGAUAACAGAUCACCAACAAGACAGACAAUUUCUUCUGAGAUUUAUCUGGAAGAAGACUCCAUAUGGAUUCUAAUGUUGGGUGUUCUGUCUGGAAUAUUGGGCUUGAAAGGUUUGAAGAUAAGAAGCAUAUGCUUUCACAAAAUAUUUUUGGUGAGCACAACUUUUUCACUCAUCGACUCUAGGCAUAAACAAAUGUAACAAAUAUGACAACUACCACCACCAUCUAGCAAUGAAAAUUAGUGGAGCUCAAAUGCUAAACUGUUGCCGUCAAUGCCAACCUUGAGCCAUGACAAUACUGUUGGAUGAUAUGAGUAUAACAAUUGAGUGUAUGCAACAUUCUCCAAUAUGCAGGCCUGAGCGAUAUAAUUUUACUCCCACUACUCAUUAAGCACUUGUUUUUCACGUAGCAUAGCUUGUAUUAACCACUUCCAUUUAUGAAGUAGCCUCUUCUGGUUUCCAACUCUAAUUUCAAGAUCUUCUGGAGUUCAAUUAGCCACAGUUGCUUUUAGGCAUAUGCACAAAGGAUACACUAUUAAGCCUACACCCCAAUUCUUCAAAUAUUCUCGCCUCCAGGGGAUUAGUGUAGGAACUCUAGCAAUAUGUAGCAUGAGGAAAUGAAGAUUCUAAAGGAAUGGAAUUACAAUAAGGUCUCCCUAAAAUGGUGCUCUUCCAUUCAAAACUAUAUCUUAUACAAUGAUAUGUCAGGCGUGUGCUUUAAUGCAUGAAUUUAAAUGACAUAAUAUUCAAGAUGAUAAAGCACACAAGCAGUUAUCAUGAUAUGCAGUGUAGCACAGAACUAAAACCGAAGACAAAAGACAAACUUGAACUUCUUCUAAAUCAUACUUACACAUUAAAUCAUGAGGGGGAGCAA